rnacentral:lncRNA from 1 species
UGAGAUUCAUGCCCUGACAUGAUAGGACUAAGGGAGUUUGUUCAUCUCUUCUGUGUUGUGAGGAUGCAGAAGGAGAGGGCUGUGUAUGAAGCAGCAUGGAAGCUGUCACCAGCAACCUGUGUGAACCUGAGGGACAUCUGACCACAUGGUAUAUAUACACAGAGGUAGCAGAGAGGUUUUCUGCCCACAUACAUGGUACAUUUGCUGAGAGUGACCUGAGUUCCUCUGGAUUCAUACUGGGUCACUUGACUCCAGGUAAAACAUGCUGUCAGUCCUAGGAACCAGCCUGUUAGAAUUGUGGGCAGAGAAGAUGGAGAAUGGACUUCUGAUCCCCUGGGGAAGAGAAGUUUCUGUUGGAGGUACUGUCUGGCUCCUAGUUUGUGCCACCAGCCCUAGUGUCAGCUACUCACAGCUGAUAUCAGCAGACAAAGAAGCCCUGACAAUCACCAGGAAUAUAAAACUGCCUCAGGCCGGUCCUUUUCCUGAAGAAGUUGCUG